rnacentral:lncRNA from 1 species
CUUCUGUCCAUAGUUAAUGCUCGUUUCGAACCUGUGCUGUAUCAGGGAAUGAAAAACUCUUCCUCUACCCUUCUAGAUCUUCCGGCCGGACAAAGAAUCACAUCCACACGAGGAAACUGGUCGCUUGAAGGAGUUCCAUCAUUUAGAAAGAAAGAGGCUGAAAUAGAAUUGAAAUGAAC